rnacentral:lncRNA from 1 species
GUCCCUCAACCACAAUCCCUAGCCACAUUGGAAGCUUCACCGUGUCAACGACGUCAUUGUUGUCGAAAAUCGUGACUCGCAGUAUUGAACCAGGUUACGAUUUCAACGAUGCUUCCAACAGCAGAGGUGGUGGCGGUGAUGCAUGACGCAGCAACAACACCGUUGAAAGUGGCGCCGCAUACAUUCGGCAAUGCCUCUGUAUUUGUCAGUGCCUCUGCAAAUGCUAUUCCAAUGCCGACACCUAUACUCUAGCGUUGGUACGAACAAAUCAU